rfam:Ancylostoma duodenale strain Zhejiang A_duodenale-1.0_Cont5288.2, whole genome shotgun sequence.
GAAACGGUGGUUCAGCGGCAGCACGCUCGCCUGCCACGCGGACGGCACGGGUUCGAUUCCCGGCCGAUGCA